CGUGCUCAUGCGCCGAAUCCCGCAAGGGAACCGGGGAACCACUUCUUGGGGUGAAUCGGAUGCCUCCGCAGCCUGCGGAGACUCCGUAGGAGACCUUCCUGCUCCGAACCCGUCAGCUAACCCGGUAGGCGAGAAGGAAGGAAAGG
rnacentral:sRNA from 2 species